GCCAGAGCCAUAUCUCCCUGCAGCUAUAACCUGGUUUCCCAUUGAAGCUAAGCAGGGUUGAGCCUGGCCAGUACCUGGAUGGAGACCUCCUGGGGAAAACUAAGGUUGCUGCUGGAA
rnacentral:rRNA from 1 species